rnacentral:rRNA from 1 species
CCUACGGGGGGCUGCAGUGGGGAAUAUUGGACAAUGGGGGCAACCCUGAUCCAGCCAUGCCGCGUGUGUGAAGAAGGCCCUCGGGUUGUAAAGCACUUUCAGUGAGGAAGAACGCCUGGUGGUUAAUACCCAUCAGGAAAGACAUCACUCACAGAAGAAGCACCGGCUAACUCCGUGCCAGCAGCCGCGGUAAUACGGAGGGUGCGAGCGUUAAUCGGAAUUACUGGGCGUAAAGCGCGCGUAGGUGGCUUGAUAAGCCGGUUGUGAAAGCCCCGGGCUCAACCUGGGAACGGCAUCCGGAACUGUCAAGCUAGAGUGCAGGAGAGGAAGGUAGAAUUCCCGGUGUAGCGGUGAAAUGCGUAGAGAUCGGGAGGAAUACCAGUGGCGAAGGCGGCCUUCUGGACUGACACUGACACUAAGGUGCGAAAGCGUGGGUAGCAAACAGGAUUAGAUACCCGAGUAGUC